rnacentral:rRNA from 1 species
AGUCAAGUAAUUAAGUGCAUGUGGUGGAUGCCUUGGCAGUCAGAGGCGAUGAAAGACGUGAUAGCCUGCGAAAAGCUCCGGGGAGGCGGCAAAUAUCCUUUGAUCCGGAGAUGUCUGAAUGGGGGAACCCACCUACUUUAAGGUAGGUAUUGCAACAUGAAUACAUAGUGUUGCAAGGCGAACGAGGGGAAGUGAAACAUCUCAGUACCCUUAGGAAAAGAAAUCAAUUGAGAUUCCCUCAGUAGCGGCGAGCGAACGGGGAUCAGCCCAUUAAGUUAUGUGUGUUUUAGUGGAACGCUCUGGGAAGUGCGAACGUAGAGGGUGAUAUUCCCGUACACGAAAGGGCACACAUAAUGAUGACGAGUAGGGCGAGGCACGUGAAACCUUGUCUGAAUAUGGGGGGACCAUCCUCCAAGGCUAAAUACUCCUGACUGACCGAUAGUGAACCAGUACCGUGAGGGAAAGGCGAAAAGAACCCCUGUGAGGGGAGUGAAAUAGAUCCUGAAACCGCAUGCAUACAAGCAGUGGGAGCACCUUCGUGGUGUGACUGCGUACCUUUUGUAUAAUGGGUCAGCGACUUAUAUUCAGUAGCGAGGUUAACCGUAUAGGGGAGCCGUAGAGAAAUCGAGUCUUAAUAGGGCGUUUAGUUGCUGGGUAUAGACCCGAAACCAGGCGAUCUAUCCAUGAGCAGGUUGAAGGUUGGGUAACACUAACUGGAGGACCGAACCCACUGUCGUUGAAAAGCCAGGGGAUGACUUGUGGAUAGGGGUGAAAGGCUAAUCAAGCCUGGUGAUAGCUGGUUCUCCCCGAAAGCUAUUUAGGUAGCGCCUCGGACGAAUACCAUAGGGGGUAGAGCACUGUUUCGGCUAGGGGGUCAUCCCGACUUACCAAACCGAUGCAAACUCCGAAUACCUAUGAGUACUAUCCGGGAGACAGACUGCGGGUGCUAACGUCCGUAGUCAAGAGGAAAACAAUCCAGACCGCCAGCUAAGGCCCCAAAAUCAUAGUUAAGUGGGAAACGAUGUGGGAAGGCAUAGACAGCUAGGAGGUUGGCUUAGAAGCAGCCACCCUUUAAAGAAAGCGUAAUAGCUCACUAGUCGAGUCGGCCUGCGCGGAAGAUGUAACGGGGCUAAAACUAUGUGCCGAAGCUGCGGAUGUAUACUUUGUAUACGUGGUAGGGGAGCGUUCUGUAAGCCGAUGAAGGUGUGUUGAGAAGCAUGCUGGAGGUAUCAGAAGUGCGAAUGCUGACGUGAGUAACGACAAAACGGGUGAAAAACCCGUUCGCCGAAAGACCAAGGGUUCCAGUCCAACGUUAAUCGGGGCUGGGUGAGUCGACCCCUAAGGCGAGGCCGAAAGGCGUAGUCGAUGGGAAAAUGGUUAAUAUUCCAUUACUUCUGUGUAAUGCGAUGAGAGGACGGAGAAGGCUAAAUCAGCCUGGCGUUGGUUGUCCAGGUGAAAGGAUGUAGGCAUGUAUCUUAGGCAAAUCCGGGGUACUCUAUGCUGAGAUCUGAUAGCAAGCUGUACUUGUACAGCGAAGUGGUUGAUGCCAUGCUUCCAGGAAAAGUCUCUAAGCUUCAGUUGCACAGGAAUCGUACCCGAAACCGACACAGGUGGUCAGGUCGAGUAGACCAAGGCGCUUGAGAGAACUCUGCUGAAGGAACUAGGCAAAAUAGUACCGUAACUUCGGGAGAAGGUACGCUGUUGUUGGUGAUGGAACUCGCUUCCUGAGCUGACGACAGCCGCAGAAACCAGGCCGCUGCAACUGUUUAUUAAAAACAUAGCACUCUGCAAACACGAAAGUGGACGUAUAGGGUGUGAUGCCUGCCCGGUGCUGGAAGGUUAAUUGAUGGGGUUAGCGUAAGCGAAGCUCUUGAUCGAAGCCCCAGUAAACGGCGGCCGUAACUAUAACGGUCCUAAGGUAGCGAAAUUCCUUGUCGGGUAAGUUCCGACCUGCACGAAUGGCAUAAUGAUGGCGGCGCUGUCUCCAGCAGAGGCUCAGUGAAAUCGAAAUCGCUGUGAAGAUGCAGUGUACCCGCGGCUAGACGGAAAGACCCCGUGAACCUUUACUGCAGCUUGACACUGAACUUUGACCUUACUUGUGUAGGAUAGGUGGGAGGCUUUGAAGCUGGAACGCUAGUUCCAGUGGAGCCGUCCUUGAAAUACCACCCUGGUAAUGUUGAGGUUCUAACUCUGUCCCGUGAUCCGGGACGAGGACCGUGUCUGGUGGGUAGUUUGACUGGGGCGGUCUCCUCCUAAAGAGUAACGGAGGAGUACGAAGGUGCGCUCAGCGUGGUCGGAAAUCACGCGUAGAGUAUAAAGGCAAAAGCGCGCUUAACUGCGAGACCCACAAGUCGAGCAGGUACGAAAGUAGGUCUUAGUGAUCCGGUGGUUCUGUAUGGAAGGGCCAUCGCUCAACGGAUAAAAGGUACUCUGGGGAUAACAGGCUGAUACCGCCCAAGAGUUCAUAUCGACGGCGGUGUUUGGCACCUCGAUGUCGGCUCAUCUCAUCCUGGGGCUGAAGCAGGUCCCAAGGGUAUGGCUGUUCGCCAUUUAAAGAGGUACGCGAGCUGGGUUUAGAACGUCGUGAGACAGUUCGGUCCCUAUCUACCGUGGGCGCUGGAAAUUUGAGAGGAUCUGCUCCUAGUACGAGAGGACCAGAGUGGACGAACCUCUGGUGUACCGGUUGUGACGCCAGUCGCAUCGCCGGGUAGCUAUGUUCGGAAGGGAUAACCGCUGAAAGCAUCUAAGCGGGAAGCCUACCUCAAGAUAAGAUUUCCCUAGGACUUUAUGUCCUCUAAAGAGCCGUUCGAGACUAGGACGUUGAUAGGUUGGAUGUGGAAGCAUAGUGAUAUGUGAAGCUGACCAAUACUAAUUGCUCGUGAGGCUUGACUAU